AAGUCGUAACAAGGUUUCCGUAGGUGAACCUGCGGAAGGAUCAUUAUUGAAUAUUCCUGAUGAGUUGUAGCUGGCUCUUUGGAGCAUGUGCACGCUUGUCUUGAUCUUAUUCAUCCACCUGUGCACAUUUUGUAGUCUUUUGGGCUGAGUCGAGUAUCGGAUGGAUGUCUAUCCGGAUGUGAGGACUGCUGAGUGCGAAAGCAUACGGCUCUUCUCUGUUUGACCUCACCCUUGAGUACUAUGUAUUCAUAUACCACAUCACAUAGUAUGUUGUAGAAUGUGAUCAUUGGGCCUUUGUGCCUAUAAUAAUCAUAUACAACUUUCAGCAACGGAUCUCUUGGCUCUC
rnacentral:misc_RNA from 1 species